UCUUAUGUCUACACCAUAUUAUUAAUGCACCAGAUCCCAUUAGAAAUUUGCAGUUAAGCACACCUGGGCUAGAGUAGUACUGGGAUAGGUGACAGCCUGGGAAGUCCUAGUGUUUUACAUG
rnacentral:rRNA from 1 species